GUUCCCGGGCCUUGUACACACCGCCCGUCACACCAUGGGAGUGGGUUGCAAAAGAAGUAGGUAGCUUAACCUUCGGGAGGGCGCUUACCACUUUGUGAUUCAUGACUGGGGUGAAGUCGUAACAAGGUAACCGUAGGGGAACCUGCGGUUGGAUCACCUCCUUACC
rnacentral:rRNA from 1 species